UUCAAGGUACUUCAUUGAAGCUAUAUCGUCAGUUUUGCAAUGAGGUGAAAAUAUAUGUGAAAAUUCAUGAAUAAUGAGAUGUUCUUGGAGAAACAAUUGACAGUUUAAUUACAAAUGUUCAAUACAUUGAGAUAUAUCAGUAAUUUACAUUAUAGGCUUCAUGACAGAUGAUGAAAAACACAAAAAGAUCAUCAAGUUAAUUAUUAGUGAAUCCAUAAAUUAUAAAGGUGUGCUUGGGUAUAUUACUGAAGCUAACCUCUAAAUCAGGGUGAAAAAUUAACUUUUUAAAAAUUUAUUUAAAAUUUUUUAAACCAAAUUCUACCAGCCACCCCUGAAUUGUUUUUUUUUUUUGUUCACACAGCAUUGCAAAAUAAGGCUUAUGAUAGUUUACAGAAAGCGUAUACGCAGUUAUGUUUAUGUGUUUCACCGGUGUGAAGCCGACUGACAGCACAAUGCAUAGAUGCAGUACUUGAUUCGUAGACGAGCAAUUCACGAAACUUAAAAGUACAGUAUUCAAACUAACAAGGAUUAAAAUAAUUUUAAAUCACACAGUUAAGUAAAACUGUACUGAGAUUCCAGGGGAAGUCUACCUCUGUGCCGGUGGUCGUGUCCACAUGUGCCUUCCUCCACAACCUCUGCAUCAGCAGCAAUGGGGACAUGGU